rnacentral:rRNA from 1 species
GACGAACGCUGGCGGCGUGCUUAACACAUGCAAGUCGAACGGAAAGGCCCUGCUUUUGUGGGGUGCUCGAGUGGCGAACGGGUGAGUAACACGUGAGUAACCUGCCCUUGACUUUGGGAUAACUUCAGGAAACUGGGGCUAAUACCGGAUAGGAGCUGCUGCUGCAUGGUGGGGGUUGGAAAGUUUCGGCGGUUGGGGAUGGACUCGCGGCUUAUGAGCUUGUUGGUGGGGGAGUGGCUUACCCAGGCUUUGACGGGUAGCCGGCCUGAGAGGGUGACCGGCCACAUUGGGCCUGAGAUACGGACCAGACUCCUACGGGAGGCAGCAGGCGCGAAUAUUGCACAAUGGGCGGAAGCCUGAUGCAGAAACGCCGCGUGCGGGAUGACGGCCUUCGGGUUGUGAACCGCUUCCGCCUGUGACGAAGCGGGAGUGACGGUAAUGAGUAAAGAAGCACCGGCUAACUACGUG